UGAUUACCUGGACGUUACCCACAGAAGAAGCACCGGCUAACUCCGUGCCAGCAGCCGCGGUAAUACGGAGGGUGCGAGCGUUAAUCGGAAUUACUGGGCGUAAAGGGUGCGUAGGUGGUUGAUUAAGUUAUCUGUGAAAUUCCUGGGCUUAACCUGGGACGGUCAGAUAAUACUGGUUGACUCGAGUAUGGGAGAGGGUAGUGGAAUUUCCGGUGUAGCGGUGAAAUGCGUAGAGAUCGGAAGGAACACCAGUGGCGAAGGCGGCUACCGGCCUAAUACUGACACUGAGGCACGAAAGCGUGGGGAGCAAACAGGAUUAGAUACCCGG
rnacentral:rRNA from 1 species